GGAUAAGCGCUGGAAACGGCGUCUAAUACUGGAUAUGUCCCGUCACCGCAUGGUGUGCGGGUGGAAAGAUUUUUCGGUUGGGGAUGGGCUCGCGGCCUAUCAGCUUGUUGGUGAGGUAAUGGCUCACCAAGGCGUCGACGGGUAGCCGGCCUGAGAGGGUGACCGGCCACACUGGGACUGAGACACGGCCCAGACUCCUACGGGAGGCAGCAGUGGGGAAUAUUGCACAAUGGGCGGAAGCCUGAUGCAGCAACGCCGCGUGAGGGAUGACGGCCUUCGGGUUGUAAACCUCUUUUAGCAGGGAAGAAGCGAAAGUGACGGUACCUGCAGAAAAAGCACCGGCUAACUACGUGCCAGCAGCCGCGGUAAUACGUAGGGUGCAAGCGUUAUCCGGAAUUAUUGGGCGUAAAGAGCUCGUAGGCGGUCUGUCGCGUCUGCUGUGAAAUUCCGAGGCUCAACCUCGGGCUUGCAGUGGGUACGGGCAGACUAGAGUGCGGUAGGGGAGAUUGGAAUUCCUGGUGUAGCGGUGGAAUGCGCAGAUAUCAGGAGG
rnacentral:rRNA from 1 species